UUGAACGCCCAUGUGCCAGCCCCCAGUGUGGGACCGUUGGUUGGUGGUGCUGCCAUUGAGAGCUCUGGGGAAGGUAGAGGGAACUUGAAGACGAACUCCUGAAAGGUUUUUGGCCAGGGCUGCAUCUGUGGUGCCACCUAGUGGCAAAAGGUUUUCUUUGCUGUUCUCAUGUUAAUUCUCUCAGGACCCUGUCACAGUUUGUAAAAGCACUUCGGAAUGUAUAACCUCGCCUGCUUUAGAGUUCGUUACCAG